ACAUUUCAAGAACUUUCUUCUUGCUUAAUAGUCUUUUUAAAAAAUCAAUUCUUCUCAAGUUUCAUCACAUAUACAACUAUGGGCUUUCCUUUCUCUGGUAUCAUCAGAAAGGCAUCAUCUGCUGUAAACCAAGCAGCUUCAAAAACUGCAGACAUGCCAAAGGGAUAUCUUGCAGUAUAUGUUGGAGAAAAUCAAAAGCGGUGUGUCAUCCCCAUAUCAUACUUGAACCAACCAUUGUUUCAAGACUUGUUGAGCCAAGCUAAGGAAGAGUUUGGAUAUGAUCAUCCCAUGGGUGGCCUCACCAUUCCUUGUACCGAAGAUGUCUUUCAACACAUAACUUCUAGCUUUAAUGACCUAUGA